AUGAACGCUGGCGGCGUGCUUAACCCAUGCAAGUCGAACGAAGCACUUUAUUUGAUUUCCUUCGGGACUGAUUAUUUUGUGACUGAGUGGCGGACGGGUGAGUAACGCGUGGGUAACCUGCCUUGUACAGGGGGAUAACAGUUGGAAACGGCUGCUAAUACCGCAUAAGCGCACAGCAUCGCAUGAUGCAGUGUGAAAAACUCCGGUGGUAUAAGAUGGACCCGCGUUGGAUUAGCUAGUUGGUGAGGUAACGGCCCACCAAGGCGACGAUCCAUAGCCGACCUGAGAGGGUGACCGGCCACAGUGGGACUGAGACACGGCCCAAACUCCUACGGGAGGCAGCAGUGGGGAAUAUUGCACAAUGGGCGAAAGCCUGAUGCAGCGACGCCGCGUGAGCGAAGAAGUAUUUCGGUAUGUAAAGCUCUAUCAGCAGGGAAGAUAAUGACGGUACCUGACGAAGAAGCACCGGCUAAAUACGUG
rnacentral:rRNA from 1 species